rnacentral:rRNA from 1 species
GAUGAACGCUGGCGGCGUGCCUAAUACAUGCCAGUCGAGCGAACGGACGAGAAGCUUGCUUCUCUGAUGUUAGCGGCGGACGGGUGAGUAACACGUGGAUAACCUACCUAUAAGACUGGGAUAACUUCGGAAACCGGAGCUAAUACCGGAUGAUAUUUUGAACCGCAUGGUUCAAAAGUGAAAGACGGUCUUGCUGUCACUUAUAGAUGGAUCCGCGCUGCAUUAGCUAGUUGGUAAGGUAACGGCUUACCAAGGCAACGAUGCAUAGCCGACCUGAGAGGGUGAUCGGCCACACUGGAACUGAGACACGGUCCAGACUCCUACGGGAGGCAGCAGUAGGGAAUCUUCCGCAAUGGGCGAAAGCCUGACGGAGCAACGCCGCGUGAGUGAUGAAGGUCUUCGGAUCGUAAAACUCUGUUAUUAGGGAAGAACAUAUGUGUAAGUAACUGUGCACAUCUUGACGGUACCUAAUCAGAAAGCCACGGCUAACUACGUG